rnacentral:rRNA from 1 species
UACAGAGGUCCCGAGCGUUGUUCGGAUUUAUUGGGCGUAAAGCGUGCGCAGGCGGUGAUGUAAGACAGGUGUGAAAUCCCCGGGCUUAACCUGGGAACUGCAUUUGUGACUGCAUCGCUGGAGUGCGGCAGAGGGGGAUGGAAUUCCGCGUGUAGCAGUGAAAUGCGUAGAUAUGCGGAGGAACACCGAUGGCGAAGGCAAUCCCCUGGGCCUGCACUGACGCUCAUGCACGAAAGCGUGGGGAGCAAACAGG